UCUGUCUCUCUCUCCCCGAGUAAUUCGACGGGGUAGCAUGGCUCUUCUUGUGUUCCGCUGCUGGGGUUUGCCGGAGGGGGAGAAAAAGGUUGGCGCAGGGCAUGCCGUGAGAGAAGCAGGCGCGUGCCUGCAAAGGGAGACAUGGUGGUCGAGUGGGCGGUGGUGGAGCGAAGGAGGCUGGAUAACAUAUUUGGUGCGGAAGAACUUGUGUUGAGUGAUUGCCAGGUGAAACCCACUCACAUGUGAAGGAGCUGACUCUACCAUUCAGGCGGCACUUCAGUUUUUCUUCAGGUGCUGAUGCUGCCAAAAAAAACCACACAUGUCAGAAAACGGCUACUUAUUCUCCAGCUUUAGGUAAACACCAGUGGAGGAGCAGAGCUCGGGUAUUGCAGCAAGAACAAUGUCAUUGCAGUCCAGUUUGUGAUUUUUGUUUUGAUGGAAUUCAGAUUUCAAUAGAAUAAUUUCAUUACCGUUGAAACAAGAUGAAUAAAAAUGUGAUGCUCAGACCUAA